GACGAACGUUGGCGGCGUGCUUAACACAUGCAAGUCGAACGGAAAGGCCCUGCUUUUGUGGGGUGCUCGAGUGGCGAACGGGUGAGUAACACGUGAGUAACCUGCCCUUGACUUUGGGAUAGCUUCAGGAAACUGGGGCUAAUACCGGAUAGGAGCUCCUGCUGCAUGGUGGGGGUUGGAAAGUUUCGGCGGUUGGGGAUGGACUCGCGGCUUAUCAGCUUGUUGGUGGGGUAGUGGCUUACCAAGGCUUUGACGGGUAGCCGGCCUGAGAGGGUGACCGGCCACAUUGGGACUGAGAUACGGCCCAGACUCCUACGGGAGGCAGCAGUGGGGAAUAUUGCACAAUGGGCGGAAGCCUGAUGCAGCAACGCCGCGUGCGGGAUGACGGCCUUCGGGUUGUAAACCGCUUUCGCCUGUGACGAAGCGUGAGUGACGGUAAUGGGUAAAGAAGCACCGGCUAACUACGUGCCAGCAGCCGCGGUGAUACGUAGGGUGCGAGCGUUGUCCGGAUUUAUUGGGCGUAAAGGGCUCGUAGGUGGUUGAUCGCGUCGGAAGUGUAAUCUUGGGGCUUAACCCUGAGCGUGCUUUCGAUACGGGUUGACUUGAGGAAGGUAGGGGAGAAUGGAAUUCCUGGUGGAGCGGUGGAAUGCGCAGAUAUCAGGAGGAACACCAGUGGCGAAGGCGGUUCUCUGGGCCUUUCCUGACGCUGAGGAGCGAAAGCGUGGGGAGCGAACAGGCUUAGAUACCCUGGUAGUCCACGCUGUAAACGGUGGGUACUAGGUGUGGGGUCCAUUCCACGGGUUCCGUGCCGUAGCUAACGCUUUAAGUACCCCGCCUGGGGAGUACGGCCGCAAGGCUAAAACUCAAAGGAAUUGACGGGGCCCCGCACAAGCGGCGGAGCAUGCGGAUUAAUUCGAUGCAACGCGUAGAACCUUACCUGGGUUUGACAUGGAUCGGGAGUGCUCAGAGAUGGGUGUGCCUCUUUUGGGGUCGGUUCACAGGUGGUGCAUGGCUGUCGUCAGCUCGUGUCGUGAGAUGUUAGGUUAAGUCCCGCAACGAGCGCAACCCUUGUUCACUGUUGCCAGCACGUUAUGGUGGGGACUCAGUGGAGACCGCCGGGGUCAACUCGGAGGAAGGUGGGGAUGACGUCAAGUCAUCAUGCCCCUUAUGUCCAGGGCUUCACGCAUGCUACAAUGGCUGGUACAGAGAGUGGCGAGCCUGUGAGGGUGAGCGAAUCUCGGAAAGCCGGUCUCAGUUCGGAUUGGGGUCUGCAACUCGACCUCAUGAAGUCGGAGUCGCUAGUAAUCGCAGAUCAGCAACGCUGCGGUGAAUACGUUCCCGGG
rnacentral:rRNA from 1 species